rnacentral:rRNA from 1 species
AUUCGUAUGGUACCGUCAAAGCUUCAUAAAUGAAACCGAUUCUUCCCAUAUAAAAGCAGUUUACAACCCAGAGGGCCGUCUUCCUGCACGCGGGAUGGCUGGAUCAGGCUUGCGCCCAUUGUCCAAUAUUCCU